AGGGCUUGGGGUCGCGG
rnacentral:misc_RNA from 1 species